rnacentral:rRNA from 1 species
UACGUAGGGUGCAAGCGUUAAUCGGAAUACUGGGCGUAAAGCGUGCGCAGGCGGCUAUGCAAGACAGAUGUGAAAUCCCCGGGCUUAACCUGGGAACUGCAUUUGUGACUGCAUGGCUAGAGUACCGGUAGAGGGGGAUGGAAUUCCGCGUGUAGCAGUGAAAUGCGUAGAUAUGCGGAGGAACACCGAUGGCGAAGGCAAUCCCCCUGGACCUGUACUGACGCUCAUGCA